GGUUAAGCGACUAAGCGUACACGGUGGAUGCCCUGGCAGUCAGAGGCGAUGAAGGACGUGCUAAUCUGCGAAAAGCGUCGGUAAGGUGAUAUGAACCGUUAUAACCGGCGAUGUCCGAAUGGGGAAACCCAGUGUGAUUCGUCACACUAUCGUUAACUGAAUACAUAGGUUAACGAGGCGAACCGGGGGAACUGAAACAUCUAAGUACCCCGAGGAAAAGAAAUCAACCGAGAUUCCCCCAGUAGCGGCGAGCGAACGGGGAGCAGCCCAGAGUCUGAAUCAGCUUGUGUGUUAGUGGAACGGUCUGGAAAGUCCGACGGUACAGGGUGAUAGUCCCGUACACCAAAAUGCACAGGUUGUGAACUCGAAGAGUAGGGCGGGACACGUGGUAUCCUGUCUGAAUAUGGGGGACCAUCCUCCAAGGCUAAAUACUCCUGACUGACCGAUAGUGAACCAGUACCGUGAGGGAAAGGCGAAAAGAACCCCGGCGAGGGGAGUGAAAAAGAACCUGAAACCGUGUACGUACAAGCAGUGGGAGCACCUUCGGGUGUGACUGCGUACCUUUUGUAUAAUGGGUCAGCGACUUAUAUUCUGUAGCAAGGUUAACCGUAUAGGGGAGCCGCAGGGAAACCGAGUCUUAACUGGGCGUUAAGUUGCAGGGUAUAGACCCGAAACCCGGUGAUCUAGCCAUGGGCAGGUUGAAGGUUGGGUAACACUAACUGGAGGACCGAACCGACUAAUGUUGAAAAAUUAGCGGAUGACUUGUGGCUGGGGGUGAAAGGCCAAUCAAACCGGGAGAUAGCUGGUUCUCCCCGAAAGCUAUUUAGGUAGCGCCUCGUGAAUUCAUCUUCGGGGGUAGAGCACUGUUUCGGCUAGGGGGUCAUCCCGACUUACCAACCCGAUGCAAACUACGAAUACCGAAGAAUGUUAUCACGGGAGACACACGGCGGGUGCUAACGUCCGUCGUGAAGAGGGAAACAACCCAGACCGCCAGCUAAGGUCCCAAAGUCAUGGUUAAGUGGGAAACGAUGUGGGAAGGCACAGACAGCCAGGAUGUUGGCUUAGAAGCAGCCAUCAUUUAAAGAAAGCGUAAUAGCUCACUGGUCGAGUCGGCCUGCGCGGAAGAUGUAACGGGGCUAAACCAUGCACCGAAGCUGCGGCAGCGACACUAUGUGUUGUUGGGUAGGGGAGCGUUCUGUAAGCCUGCGAAGGUGACCUGUGAGGGUUGCUGGAGGUAUCAGAAGUGCGAAUGCUGACAUAAGUAACGAUAAAGCGGGUGAAAAGCCCGCUCGCCGGAAGACCAAGGGUUCCUGUCCAACGUUAAUCGGGGCAGGGUGAGUCGACCCCUAAGGCGAGGCCGAAAGGCGUAGUCGAUGGGAAACAGGUUAAUAUUCCUGUACUUGGUGUUACUGCGAAGGGGGGACGGAGAAGGCUAUGUUAGCCGGGCGACGGUUGUCCCGGUUUAAGCAUGUAGGCUGGUUAUCCAGGCAAAUCCGGAUAAUCAAGGCUGAGGUGUGAUGACGAGGCACUACGGUGCUGAAGUAACAAAUGCCCUGCUUCCAGGAAAAGCCUCUAAGCAUCAGGUAACAUCAAAUCGUACCCCAAACCGACACAGGUGGUCAGGUAGAGAAUACCAAGGCGCUUGAGAGAACUCGGGUGAAGGAACUAGGCAAAAUGGUGCCGUAACUUCGGGAGAAGGCACGCUGGUGUGUAGGUGAAGUCCCUGCGGAUGGAGCUGAGACCAGUCGAAGAUACCAGCUGGCUGCAACUGUUUAUUAAAAACACAGCACUGUGCAAACACGAAAGUGGACGUAUACGGUGUGACGCCUGCCCGGUGCCGGAAGGUUAAUUGAUGGGGUUAUCCGUAAGGAGAAGCUCUUGAUCGAAGCCCCGGUAAACGGCGGCCGUAACUAUAACGGUCCUAAGGUAGCGAAAUUCCUUGUCGGGUAAGUUCCGACCUGCACGAAUGGCGUAAUGAUGGCCAGGCUGUCUCCACCCGAGACUCAGUGAAAUUGAACUCGCUGUGAAGAUGCAGUGUACCCGCGGCAAGACGGAAAGACCCCGUGAACCUUUACUAUAGCUUGACACUGAACAUUGAGCCUUGAUGUGUAGGAUAGGUGGGAGGCUUUGAAGCGUGGACGCCAGUCUGCGUGGAGCCAACCUUGAAAUACCACCCUUUAAUGUUUGAUGUUCUAACGUUGGCCCCUUAUCGGGGUUGCGGACAGUGUCUGGUGGGUAGUUUGACUGGGGCGGUCUCCUCCCAAAGCGUAACGGAGGAGCACGAAGGUUAGCUAAUCCUGGUCGGACAUCAGGAGGUUAGUGCAAUGGCAUAAGCUAGCUUGACUGCGAGCGUGACGGCGCGAGCAGGUGCGAAAGCAGGUCAUAGUGAUCCGGUGGUUCUGAAUGGAAGGGCCAUCGCUCAACGGAUAAAAGGUACUCCGGGGAUAACAGGCUGAUACCGCCCAAGAGUUCAUAUCGACGGCGGUGUUUGGCACCUCGAUGUCGGCUCAUCACAUCCUGGGGCUGAAGUAGGUCCCAAGGGUAUGGCUGUUCGCCAUUUAAAGUGGUACGCGAGCUGGGUUUAGAACGUCGUGAGACAGUUCGGUCCCUAUCUGCCGUGGGCGCUGGAGAAUUGAGGGGGGCUGCUCCUAGUACGAGAGGACCGGAGUGGACGCAUCACUGGUGUUCGGGUUGUCAUGCCAAUGGCACUGCCCGGUAGCUAAAUGCGGAAGAGAUAAGUGCUGAAAGCAUCUAAGCACGAAACUUGCCCCGAGAUGAGUUCUCCCUGAGACUUUAAGUCUCCUGAAGGAACGUUGAAGACGACGACGUUGAUAGGCCGGGUGUGUAAGCGCAGCGAUGCGUUGAGCUAACCGGUACUAAUGAACCGUGAGGCUUAACCUU
rnacentral:rRNA from 1 species